rnacentral:rRNA from 1 species
UACAGAGGUGGCAAGCGUUGUUCGGAAUUACUGGGCGUAAAGGGCGCGUAGGCGGUCUGCUAAGCGUGCGGUGAAAGCCUGGGGCUCAACCCCAGGUCUGCCGUGCGAACUGGUGGACUAGAGCACUGUAGAGGCAGGUGGAAUUUCGGGUGUAGCGGUGGAAUGCGUAGAGAUCCGAAAGAACACCGGUGGCGAAGGCGGCCUGCUGGGCAGUUGCUGACGCUGAGGCGCGACAGCGUGGGGAGCAAACAGG